UACGGAGGGUGCAAGCGUUAUCCGGAUUUACUGGGUUUAAAGGGUGCGUAGGCGGAUAUGUAAGUCCGUGGUGAAAUCUCUGGGCUUAACCCGGAAACUGCCAUGGAUACUAUGUGUCUUGAAUGUUGUUGAGGUGAGCGGAAUAUGUCAUGUAGCGGUGAAAUGCUUAGAUAUGACAUAGAACACCAAUGGCGAAGGCAGCUCACUAAGCAAAUAUUGACACUGAGGCACGAA
rnacentral:rRNA from 1 species